rnacentral:rRNA from 1 species
CGCAUCUGUGCAUGCAGCAUAUCAAUAAGCGGAGGAAAAGAAACUAACAAGGAUUCCCCUAGUAACGGCGAGUGAAGCGGGAAGAGCUCAAAUUUGAAAUCUUAAAGGGUUUCCCUUUACGAAUUGUAGUUUAAAGAAGUGUUUUUUGUUGAGGUUUUGGUAAAAGUUCUUUGGAAUAGGACAUCAUAGAGGGUGAGAAUCCCGUAUUUGACCUUUACUUUCAACUUUGUGAUACACUUUCAAAGAGUCGGAUUGUUUGGGAAUGCAGUCCAAAAUGGGUGGUAAAUUUCAUCUAAAGCUAAAUAUUGGCGAGAGACCGAUAGCGAACAAGUACCGUGAGGGAAAGAUGAAAAGAACUUUGAAAAGAGAGUUAAACAGUACGUGAAAUUGUCAAAAGGGAAGCGUUUGACACCAGUGUUGUUUUUCUGAAAAUCAAUUAAAGAACUGUUUAUGCUAAGCUGUUUAGACUUUAUCAGCUAACUGUUUAGUUUUGAGCUUUUCUUUAAUGCACUUUUCAGUUAACAAGUCAACAUCAAUUUCUUUUGCUGUAAAAAAGCUUGAGGAAGGUGGCUUGAGAUUCGUCUUAAGUGUUUAUAGCCUCUUGCCUAUGCAGUCGGAGAGAUUGAGGUCUGCAGCGUAGAUCCUUCGGGGCUAAAUGCAUUUGUGCUAAGUUAUAGCAUUUUAUAGACAACUUGUUGACUAUGAUUUGUCUUGUAGCUUACUCGCUUAUGUUAUUUUACCUACGCUUAGGAUGUUGACAGCAGUAUAGACUGU